UCUACGGGUGGCAGCAGUGGGGAAUAUUGGACAAUGGGCGAAAGCCUGAUCCAGCUAUGCCGCGUGUGUGAAGAAGGCCUUCGGGUUGUAAAGCACUUUCAGUGGGGAAGAAAGCCUUGGGGCUAAUACCCUCGAGGAAGGACAUCACCCACAGAAGAAGCACCGGCUAACUCCGUGCCAGCAGCCGCGGUAAUACGGAGGGUGCGAGCGUUAAUCGGAAUUACUGGGCGUAAAGCGCGCGUAGGCGGUCUGAUAAGCCGGUUGUGAAAGCCCCGGGCUCAACCUGGGAACGGCAUCCGGAACUGUCAGGCUAGAGUGCAGGAGAGGAAGGUAGAAUUCCCGGUGUAGCGGUGAAAUGCGUAGAGAUCGGGAGGAAUACCAGUGGCGAAGGCGGCCUUCUGGACUGACACUGACGCUGAGGUGCGAAAGCGUGGGUAGCAAACAGGAUUAGAUACCCUUGUAGUC
rnacentral:rRNA from 1 species